rnacentral:lncRNA from 1 species
CAUUAGCGCCAAUGCAUUUAUAAAGUAGGACCAAAUAAAAAUCUUCCAGUAAGAUAUAACGUUAUAACUUAUUGCGCAAUUGCACUUGUCAGUAUAAAAUCACCAGUCACGAGUUAUCCCAAGACCCGGAGUAUCUUAAAAUCACACGAUGUACAAAUUUUUACAUGGCUUCGUGUGUCCAUAAAAAUGUAAAGCUUAAAAGAAUUUUACAUAAAUUUCUGCAACAGAAAAGAUUUUGAGGUGGUCCUCUGACAUGGUACUGUACAACUAAGAGUGUCGCGUUUUAACUGCACAUCAAUGACUCUAGAUACUUCCUCUUCGUCUGCAAGUAGCUUACAAAGAACUUCCUUUCCUCCAUUUCAUAUCAAAUCCCUAUAUCAUUUCCUAAUAAAUUCACAAACGUAGUUCAAGUGAGAUUAUUUGGUCGACUGCAUUUGCAAAUAAAAGAAAUCAGUACUCACUUAUAAGAAAUACCAGAUUUUUCACACCAGAUGGUAACAUAUUUACCAAACAAACCAAAAGGAUUCGUACAAACAAGAAAUGUCUGUAAAUGUGGCGCUUAUCGCCCAACUCCAAACAGGGUGAAAUGAUAACUGAGGCUAUUCAAUAUCUUCUUGUCAAUUUAAUUGGAAUUUUUUUGCUUAGUCUCCUUGAUCGAGCAUGCUUAUAGUAUUGUGGUGGGUAAAGAUAUAUGUACCCAUACCUAAGCUUACAAAAAGGAGUAAACAUGAAACAGAAAGGAGUAUAAAACUGCUAUGCUACUGCACAUUUAUGUUACACUGUUAGCUAUAUGAACUGAAAAAUGGCACGCCUGGGGAUGAUUUUUUUGAUAUAAUAUGUACCUGGAAAUUAAUGACAUAAUAUUCCUAGUUUUUAUGUGAAAAUCAACUAUGGCACACAAGAAUCUCAAAAAGGAUUUUACGUGAAGUAUUUACUUCAACCCCAAUAGGAGUUAUAUCUACUUUAAAUCCAAACCUAGAUAAUAGUACCUUCCGAAAUAAAAACUAUGGUAAUUCAACCAGUGAUUUUGACAAGGCAAUUAAGCUAUAAAACUGAAGACAAUUCACAAUCACAAAGGGGGAAUUCCGCAGAGGAAAAAAUAAAACACUAUGUUUUGAUGGAGUUCAUCAUCGUUCAUGACAAAAAGUAGAGCCUAGUAAUAUGGUGAGGCCUCACGGGGAUCCCUACAACAAGAAAAAUGAACUAACGAAUGAGCAGUAACAACACUAAUUGGACACAAACAGGGGCGGCGCCACCGUAUGGGCUGGUAUGGGCGGCCGCCCCGGGUAGCCGGAAUGUGUGUCCUUAAAACCCCCGCCAGUCUUGCCUCCUAGCAUACAGUGUUACAGGCCUGCACAAUGAACCGACUCGGGUGACUUGAAAUCCUAGAUCCGCCAUUGGAAACAAAUAACUUUCUUUUGGAACUGAAUAUUGGUAUCUACAUGAGAUCAAAGAAACAGUAAAAGAACUUGCCAAGAAAAUUAACAUCUACCAAAGUCCCAAAAUGCAAGUUGAAGAAAAAUUGCAAGUGGCUUGAUGCCAAGGUUGUAUCCAUGCUGGCGUUAGGAACACUAACGGGUAUAUGCACUGCAACACAAGAGUAUAAAUCACCAAUACUAAGAGAAAGCAUGCUAUGAGCAAUUUCCACAAAGUAGUACUGAAAGAAAAGAAACAAUAUGGAGAAAGAUUUGACCUUUUCGUAACAGCUGCCAACACCAUCCUGCUGCCACGCUGCCGCCUACCACCCCGCCAUCCGCAUCGUGAUGCUACUGCCUCUCCUCUGCACACCAUGCAACCAACUCGCUUGAAUCAACACAGGAACACAAAACCCCAAGUGAAAUCAAUAACACAAUCUUAACUAUAAAAAGCUCGUCAUAUUCAGGCUUGAGCUCACCUCGUGAACAGACACAUCACUGCAAAUCUACAAUUUAUCAGCUCCUUCUUAUGCAUUCAGACAACUAGUGGGCAAUAAAAAACUGUUUACCAAUGAACAUGUGUUGACGUGUUGUAGAAAUUAGAGUCUGAGGGCUGAAACACAGAAUCAGACUCUGCCUCAGAGGCUUUUUCUACCAGGUUAUCACUUGAGACAUGCCCUUUCACACCCUGAAAAUUUAAUCACACCGUAAAUUUGAAAAGACCAACAGUAUGGUACCUAAUGCGUAAUCUCCUUGCACUUGCAGUACCAAGCUGCAACUUGCUUUUUUGGAAAACCAUAACAAAAAUAAGAUUCGUUUAACCUUCUCUGAACUUUUUCUAUGUUGUCUAAAUGAUUUAACCAGGAAGAGCUCUAGCAACUAAGUAACUUAUCCUAUUCAAAUCCACUGUAUCAAAGAAUUGGACCAAACACGCAGGAAAGGAAGAAAUUGAUAGUCACGACAAUGGACAGAAAAUAAAAUUUCUGAAUCUUGUGAGGCACCUGAAGGUCAGCUGCACCAGGAAAUUAAAUGGAUAGGGUCUAGAGGUUGGCAUGACUAGUACGCUCCGGUAGCCGGCAGGGAGGCGGUGAUCGAUUCCAGCGGCUUCUGGGCUCUUGAUAUCCAGAAAUUUUACAAGGAAAUAUCCAGAACGUUUUGCAACUAUGGAUGUGCACUCAGUUAAUCCUGACCUAGCUAAAAUGAGGCCUAACAAAAUUGUGUGAACUUGAGAGAUUGGGAAGGGAUCAGAAAUCAAACAUUAC